GGCGCACGCCGUAGCCGCUAGCCGCUCCGCUACUCAGUCAGUCCGUCCGCUCGCUCCACUCGACGCUCACCACACUACGAUGGCUACUGGUAGUGUGUUGGCAUCGUGCGGGCUACUGGUGGUAUCUCUUCUAGUCUUCGAUAUGAAUCUCAACUUUGCAGCGGGCAAACGGCAACUCAACAAGACACACAACAACAUUGUAG